rnacentral:tRNA from 1 species
GUUUUAAUAAUUUAUAUAAAAUAUCGGUCUUGUAAAUCGAAAAUAAGAUUUUCUCUUUUAAAACU